GGACACGCAAGCACGAAGUGUGCCGCGGAGGCGGGGAGCCAGCGCGACUGCGGCCCCGAACGUGUGGAAUAGAUGCAUUGCCCUAAGAUGUCCCGUGUGGCCUCUGUUCGAGCCCCAGGCAAUGACUGACCUUUGGACUGUCUCUAUAAUCUUGCUUUCUCCAGAAUGUCAUAUAGUUGGAAUCAGACAGCAAGUAUUUAGAAGCAUGAUCGCCAGAUUGGAUGGUGCAAGGACAUCUAGUUUUUUAAGAAACCGCCAAACUCUCCCAGAAGAACAACUGGAUCUGAUUUGAGGGUUAAAAGAUGC
rnacentral:lncRNA from 1 species